GGUUAGUCGGCCCCUAAGGCGAGGGCGAAAGCCGUAGUCGAUGGGAAGCAGGUUAAUAUUCCUGCACCAGCUGGUAGUGACGGAUGAAGUAAAUUGUAAGUUCUUACUGGAUUGAACUUGCAGUGAAUUUGUCCCUGGAAAUAGCUCCAGCAUUAGACCGUACCAAAACCGACACAGGUAGGAGGGUAGAGAAUACCAAGGCGCUUGAGAGAACUAUGUUGAAGGAACUCGGCAAAUUACACUUGUAACUUCGGGAUAAAAGUGACCUGCUAUUGGGCAACCAGUAGGAGGUGGCACAGAAGAGGGGGUAGCGACUGUUUACUAAAAACAUAGCACUAUGCAAAGUCGAAAGACGACGUAUAUGGUGUGACGCCUGCCCGGUGCCGGAAGGUUAAUAGGAGGGGUGCAAGCCCUGAAUUGAAGCCCCGGUGAACGGCGGCCGUAACUAUAACGGUCCUAAGGUAGCGAAAUUCCUUGUCGGGUAAGUUCCGACCUGCACGAAUGGCGUAACGAUUUCCCCACUGUCUCCAACAUAGACUCAGUGAAAUUGAAUUCUCGGUUAAGAUGCCGAGUAACCGUGGUUAGACGGAAAGACCCCGUGCACCUUUACUGCAGCUUUGUAUUGGUAUUAGGGAACAGAUGUGUAGCAUAGGUGGGAGACUUUGAAGGAGUGGCGCUAGCCAUUCUGGAGUCAUUAGUGAAAUACCACUCUUCUGUUCCUUGAUGCCUAACCAUACACCGUCAUCCGGUGUUGGGACCAUGCAUGGUGGGCAGUUUGACUGGGGCGGUCGCCUCCCAAAGAGUAACGGAGGCGCGCGAUGGUAGGCUCAGAACGCUUGGAAACCGUUCGUCGAGUGCAAUGGCAUAAGCCUGCCUGACUGCGAGACCCACAAGUCGAGCAGAGACGAAAGUCGGUCAUAGUGAUCCGGUGGCACUUCGUGGAAGGGCCAUCGCUCAACGGAUAAAAGGUACGCCGGGGAUAA
rnacentral:rRNA from 1 species